UCCUGCAUCUUUAGGACAUUAAUUCCUCAAUAUUAUGGCGCUCUUGCUGCUCUUGUUUUCCUUUUUGGCUUUAUCUAAAGGGGUCUUCUCAGACAUUCAGCUUGUAUCAUCUGGACCAGGAAUAGCGAGACCAGGAGAGAAUCUCAACCUGCUUUGUAAAGUCACAGGUUUCUCCAUCUCUACUCAGUACUAUGUGUGGCACUGGAUCCGUCAAGCUCCUGGGAAAGGUCUGGAAUGGAUUGCAUGGAUACAUCCCUAUGAUGGAGUCACAAUAUAUGCCCCUUCUCUGAAGAACCGAGCAAGCAUUUCUUCAGAUGCCUCAAAGAAUGAGUUCUCCCUCCAGCUGAACUCCCUGACAGCUGCAGACUCCGCUGUGUAUUUCUGUGCCCGAGAAGACACAGUGAGACAAAGCCUAUUGGGCCCUGUUCAAAAAGUAGAAGUCCUGCUUCUAUAA